UAUAUAUAUAAAGCAAGAAGGCAUGUUGAAUGGCUCAUUAAAAAAACAACAACAAUAAUUUGAUAGUAUGACGGAUUGAGGGACCAAUCUAUAAUUUUAAGGGUUGUUCUUGUCACCCUAAUUAGACCGAUAACCAGUCUCUAUUAUUCUUCACCAAUCAAUCUUUGAGGUGCAUUUUCAUUACCAUCCAAAUCUUUUGUCAUUUUCCAGUAGAGGGAAGCAUCAAAUCGACUUCACCCAGUUCUACAUCCUCAU
rnacentral:lncRNA from 1 species